CACCAGGUGUGGCCACUAGCCUAUAUGAAGGCCCAAAAUUGUGUGUUCCUUUCUGCUCUGACAAUGGCAUGCCCAUUCGUGCGAGAUGUGGUGGAUGAAGAAGCACUUGUGCUGAGGAGAGCCUUCAGGCGAGAAAGGGUCUUCAGGGACCGGUUGGACCCACUGGCCUUCCCUGAUGACCAUCUAUAUGAAAGAUACAGGUUUUCUGCAGAUGGCAUCAGGUAUCUAUGCAGACUACUGGGUCCCAGGAUUAAGCACCGCACUGCACGGAGCCAUGCACUGAGUGUGGAGCAAAUGGUUUGUGUGGCCUUGCGCUUUUUGCUAGUGGAGCCUUCCUGUACUCAGUGGGGGAUGCAGAACAGCUGAACAAGGCCACAAUUUGCCGCACAAUAAGGAGUGUGUGUCUGGCUAUCAAAGCAUUAGCAGAUGUCUUCAUCUCCUUCCCUGGCCACAGAAGACUCUGUGACAUCAAAGAGGAGUUCUAUAGGAUUGCAGGUUUCCCCAAUGUCAUUGGUGCAGUGGACUGCACACACAUAAGGAUAAAAGCCCCUCAGGUGCCCAUGAGGCCGAUUUUGUGAAUAGGAAAUCCUUUCACAGCAUUAAUGUUCAGAUGGUCUGCAAUGCUGACUGUGUGAUCAGCAAUGUUGUGGCAAAAUGGCCUGGCUCAGUCCAUGACUCCAGAAUCUUUCGGGCCUCUGAAAUCUAUCAGUGCCUAUCACAAGGUGAAUUCUCUGGUGUGUUGCUGGGAGACAGGGGGUAUGGCUGCCAGCCUUUUCUCCUGACACCUUUCACAGACCCCCAGGAAGCACAGCAGGCCUAUGCCCAUGCCAGGACCAGGGCCAGAGUUGAAAUUACCUUUGGCCUCCUGAAGGCACGCUUUCACUGCCUUCACAAAUUAAGGGUCAGCCCUGUUAGGGCAUGUGAUAUUACUGUGGCUUGUGCUGUCCUCCACAAUGUGGCCUGCCUGAGGAAGGAGAGUGCCCCCAGAGUGCCACCAGCCAUGGACUGGGACAAUCCGGCAAUCUUCCCUGAUGACGACAGUGGUCGGCUGCUGAGGGACCAAUAUGUGUUGAAUUAUUUUAGUUAGUAUGUGUGCUUUCAAUUUUGGUUAAAUAUGUCCUGCGGUAGCAGAGGAAUUUGGGUUUUUUUGGGUUCGUUUUUGACGAAUUUGGCCUCUUAUGAUGUUUGUGCGGUAUACUGUGUGUAAUACAAGGCUGCAGGGAGGCUACUGCAUCCAUUCAUUUGUCUGUUCAGUUGAUGUGUAUGGAUUUGUCCUGCAUUUAUUUUAGUGUGCAGACAUGCAGGGUGUGUUAUAUACAGACCUUUGAAUGUGUAUGUAUCAUUUUGUAUAAUAUGCUUGGAUUCUGUGCUUUCCAUCUUGUAGAGUCACUGUGACUUCAGUUUCGAAAGGAGCUGAUGGUUUACCUGCUUUGUUUUGUCCUUAUUCAAUAAAGGAACCUAAUGUUA